rnacentral:rRNA from 1 species
GAUGAACGCUGGCGGCGUGCCUAAUACAUGCAAGUCGAGCGAACAGACGAGGAGCUUGCUCCUCUGACGUUAGCGGCGGACGGGUGAGUAACACGUGGAUAACCUACCUAUAAGACUGGGAUAACUUCGGGAAACCGGAGCUAAUACCGGAUAAUAUAUUGAACCGCAUGGUUCAAUAGUGAAAGACGGUUUUGCUGUCACUUAUAGAUGGAUCCGCGCCGCAUUAGCUAGUUGGUACGGUAACGGCUUACCAAGGCAACGAUGCGUAGCCGACCUGAGAGGGUGAUCGGCCACACUGGAACUGAGACACGGUCCAGACUCCUACGGGAGGCAGCAGUAGGGAAUCGUCCGCAAUGGGCGAAAGCCUGACGGAGCAACGCCGCGUGAGUGAUGAAGGUCUUCGGAUCGUAAAGCUCUGUUAUUAGGGAAGAACAAAUGUGUAAGUAACUAUGCACGUCUUGACGGUACCUAAUCAGAAAGCCACGGCUAACUACGUG